UCAGGGACUCGGUUAAAAAAAUGAGCACAAGGUUAACGUGACGACAGCUGUUCAGUGAAAUAUCACAACAUUAAAAAAGCAGAGUUUAUAUACUCUCUGAAGCCUUGAAAAAAUGGAUUUUGUAAGAUUUUAUAAUUUGAAUGAAUGUUGGAUUUUUAGUCUUUCGAUUAUUUAUAGAUGUCAUAUGUUACCCAAAUUUUAACGCCGAACCCCUGUGACCUGGGUAAUACACAGACAUGCCAGGGUCCCUUGACCACUGUUUGUGUUGUUUUGAACCCACAUAAUACGAAGUGUCAAAGUCAGAGUCAGCCAAGUGUGACACAGGUAACUUUUCAUGACCUUUGUCUCGGAUCGACCCACACGCUCUAUAGAACUUGUCAUGUAUACAACUGUAGGACCCGGAUGACAACAUCCCGUAAUUAGAAUUACGACUUCUUUUGCCUAAGUUAUCGCGGCUGAGGAAUACCUUGAUAUUAGCUCAAGAUUACUGAGGAAUAGAGCUCCACGAGAGCGAUGAUGAUGGUACUGACUCGGAAACACAUGCGUUACAGAUCGCGAGGCCCGCGAAUGCCUUGACAAGUUGAAAUCAAUCGUAUUUGUAAGUAAGGUCAGCUCGGAAAGAGUCAAACAAACACUGGUCAGUGAUUAUUUCGCAGCUGUAAAACGUGAUUAGCGCGAUCGUGAUAUGACAUUAUGUAGCCGUUGUAGGCCUAUUGUGCAUUGGUAGGCCAACUGUAAAUAACAAAAGACUGAACGCCACGCACUUACAAUGUACAAUGUUUUAAACAUUAUAAUUUUAAUAUUAAAUGAUUAAAUUAA